rnacentral:rRNA from 1 species
UACGUAGGGCGCAAGCGUUGUCCGGAAUUAUUGGGCGUAAAGAGCUCGUAGGUGGCUUGUCGCGUCUGCCGUGAAAGCCCAUGGCUUAACUGUGGGUCUGCGGUGGAUACGGGCUGGCUAGAGGUAGGUAGGGGCAAGCGGAAUUCCAGGUGUAGCGGUGAAAUGCGUAGAGAUCCGGAGGAACACCCGUGGCGCAGGCGGCCCCCUGGGCCGCGCCUGACGCUGAGACGCGAAAGCGCGGGGAGCGAACGGG